rnacentral:sRNA from 1 species
GUCAAACCACAGCAGAGAGAAUAAUCGAAUGAAAACUGAAGGCUUCUGCUUUAUUCCUUUUCUCCUUCUCCUUUCAGUCAGGGUCUCACUCUGUCACCCAGGCUGACACGAUCAUGGCUCACUACAACCUCUGCCUUCCUGGCUCAAGGGUUCUUCCUUGAGCACCUCAGCCUCCCAAGUAGCUGGGACCACAGGAAUUUAGAUAAUGGGCUGUGUGCAAUGUAAGGAUAAAGAAGCAACAAAACUGACGGAGGAGAGGGACGGCAGCCUGAACCAGAGCUCCGGGUACCGCUAUGGCACAGACCCCACCCCUCAGCACUACCCCAGCUUCGGCGUGACCUCCAUCCCCAACUACAACAACUUCCACGCAGCCGGGGGCCAAGGACUCACCGUCUUUGGAGGUGUGAACUCUUCGUCUCAUACGGGGACCUUGCGUACGAGAGGAGGAACAGGAGUGACACUCUUUGUGGCCCUUUAUGACUAUGAAGCACGGACAGAAGAUGACCUGAGUUUUCACAAAGGAGAAAAAUUUCAAAUAUUGAACAGCUCGGAAGGAGAUUGGUGGGAAGCCCGCUCCUUGACAACUGGAGAGACAGGUUACAUUCCCAGCAAUUAUGUGGCUCCGGUUGACUCUAUCCAGGCAGAAGAGUGGUACUUUGGAAAACUUGGCCGAAAAGAUGCUGAGCGACAGCUAUUGUCCUUUGGAAACCCAAGAGGUACCUUUCUUAUCCGUGAGAGUGAAACCACCAAAGGUGCCUAUUCACUUUCCAUCCGUGAUUGGGAUGAUAUGAAAGGAGACCAUGUCAAACAUUAUAAAAUUCGCAAACUUGACAAUGGUGGAUACUACAUUACCACCCGGGCCCAGUUUGAAACACUUCAGCAGCUUGUACAACAUUACUCAGGUAACCU